AGCCUACACCAAGGGAAGAGUCAGGGGAGAAGGAACACAAGACUCCGGAAGCAUGCCAGCGUAUAAAACCACACUUUGCCUCAUUGGUUCGUGCCUCAGCUUCCAAUCUGGACAUGGAGCACAAUAACAGUGGGCCCACUGCUCUCCGAAUUCCUGCGCGCACUUGAAGGGAGUGUCUGGUGCAGGCAUGCAGGGAGGAAGAAUGACUCUGAGCUUGACCAUUCAACUUCGAAACUUUAACAUCAAUGGAUCAGCACACACUGGUGUACGGUCUGCUAUGCAUGCAGCCCUGUGCUAGGCAAAAGAAGUAUCAGACCAGGAACUGACAGCCUCACUGCAACAGGAAGAGAGGCUUCACACAAUAAGCGUUUCAUUCAACCAGGCUGGACCUGUGCUUAUUGAGUUGAACAUCACUGAGCACAAAAUGCAAGCCAGACACCAUAAGAGCUGUAAGGAUGAUAAAGAUGUCUUUCUACCCUCGAGAGCUCUAAGUGUGGUCAGGAGAGAAACACAUGCAAAGAUUAUGCUGGCUGGAAGGAAAUGCUGGAAUGAAGGUGGAAGGUACAUCCAGAAUGUUCUGGGGGUGAGGAAUAGCGAAUGAUGGGUUCUGACUUAGAACAUGAAGGGAAGGUAUUAAGAAAGAGGUGAUAUUAAGCAUUUAUUGAGCAUCUCUACUUUUUUUGUGUAUGUGACCUUGUUUGGAAAUACAAUAUCUCUUCUUGAUGCUGGCAA
rnacentral:lncRNA from 10 species